UAAAGGAUAUUGAGUAUCCGCUCUAUUUUAGAAUAGAGAGGAAAAUCCGGACUUCUAUUUGAUUAGAUUAGUUAAUGACUAAGAAGCUUAAGCUUAGGGAAAUUACUACAGAAAAACAUGAGUACUACUACAUUAGUAAACAUUGAAAAGAGUAGCAGGAGACUGCUCAAUCAUUUGGAAACCCUCUAAGAAGCAAGAAUAUCGCUGUACUACUAUUGUAAAAUAGUUUUGAAGUGAAAUGGAUACUCAGGAAAAAGAAUGGCAGGGUCUUCUUUUUUUGGACAAAAUCCGGUUUAUAAAUAUCCUUUU
rnacentral:RNase_P_RNA from 1 species